AAAGUACCUGGACCUCUAUGCCCAUGCUUCUAGCAGCCAGCCUCCUAAAAUACCUCUAGUUGAAGCCAAAGUUAGAAUCCUUCUACGAAACUACAGGAUUAAAAUGGAAUGGUUACAUGACCCAGGCUUGACCAAUCAGAUCAUCCAAACCCUUUGCCACAGUGAUUGGUCCAGGGAUACAUGCAUGAGCCAGCUCAGGUGGCAUUGUAUUAUGCGCCAAGAGUGAACCAGAUAGAGGAAGUUGCUCCUUAAGCUUGCAGGUCUGAAAGAACAAGGAAUUGCCUCUCUUCAAAGGCCUAAGCCACACUCAUCUUGUGGAUGACACUGGAGCUGUGACAGUCUGUUCUGUCCAGGCAGGGUGUCUUUUAUUUUUAUUGGAAAUAAGAUUAUCACAGCCAGACCCAGAGCUCCAACCCUGGUGAUCCAGUUAAGAAGGCCACAUUUACAGGAAAGAAGAAAAACUGUUGUGCCCAGUUCCUGGCUGUUACACCACUGAGGGCUUUUCUUGUCUCUAACUUGCAGAAGUGCAAGUCCAUUUCACUUACAGAUUCCCUCAUCUGGCUAAGUAGUGUCCCAAAUACAAACAAUGAAAACAGCAUGGAAAAA
rnacentral:lncRNA from 10 species